UGCGGUUCUCAGGUGAUCCAUCUGGAACCAGAAAGGAGGGAGCCUGAUUCCAGGGUGCAUCACCUGAGAACUGCC
rfam:Myotis davidii contig143308, whole genome shotgun sequence.